rnacentral:rRNA from 1 species
AUACGUAGGGGGCGAGCGUUGUCCGGAAUGAUUGGGCGUAAAGGGCGCGUAGGCGGCCUGUUAAGUCUGGAGUGUAAGUCCUGUUUUCAAGAUGGGAAUUGCUUUGGAUACUGAUGGGCUUGAGUGCAGGAGAGGUUAUCGGAAUUCCCGGUGUAGCGGUGAAAUGCGUAGAGAUCGGGAGGAACACCAGUGGCGAAGGCGGGUAACUGGACUGCAACUGACGCUGAGGCGCGAAAGUGUGGGGAGCAAACAGGAUUAGAUACCCUGGUAGUCCACACUGUAAACGAUGAAUGCUAGGUGUAGGGGGUAUCGACCCCUUCUGUGCCGCAGUCAACACAAUAAGCAUUCCGCCUGGGGAGUACGGCCGCAAGGUUGAAACUCAAAUGAAUUGACGGGG